AGCGCAGGCGGGUUGGCAAGUCCUUGGUGAAAUCCUGAGGCUUAACCUCAGGACUGCCAAUGAUACUGCUGAUCUUGAGUGCAGAAGAGGAAGACGGAAUUCCUGGUGUAGCGGUGAAAUGCGUAGAUAUCAGGAAGAACACCGGUGGCGAAGGCGGUCUUCUGGUCUGUAACUGACGCUCAUGCUCGAAAGCGUGGGGAGCAAACAGGAUUAGAUACCCUGGUAGUCCACGCCCUAAACGAUGGAUACUCGAUGUCGGGUCGCAAGGCCCGGUGUCCAAGCUAACGCGUUAAGUAUCCCACUGGGGAGUACGAUCGCAAGGUUGAA
rnacentral:rRNA from 1 species